CGCAAUAUGAAGGAGGCAGCCCUAUCUGAGAUACUAUGCCUCAAGCGCACGCCCGCGGUCUGGCACUUAAGAUCUAAAAUUAUCGGCCUAACCUGGGAAGUACAUCGGAAAUAGCACGCAGAGUGUGUUGAGGGGGGUUGAUAACAGCCAUACCCCCAAUNAUAGUGAUUUGAGGAAUACCCCCGGGAAGAUGGCCCCCUUGACAACGACGACGCUCACGUGGGCAACUGUGUGGAGCACAACAGGAGUAGUUAACCCCGUAGUGCUCCCCCGUAAAAAGAAAUCGCCUAUGAGGGUGUUUCCCGAUGAGGGGCUUCUCGGAGAGAACCAGGUAAAUCGAGAUCCAGGGGAGUACGCCGGCAAAACUUAAAAGUCUAAAAUAUGAGGAGCGGCCCCCCAAGCGGCGCGGCACGUGCUGUAAUUCGAAUNCGGAGAACGUUAUAGAGUCCACAGGGUCAGAUUGAACGCUGGCGGCAGGCCUAACACAYGCAAGUCKGACGGUAGCACAGAGGAGCUUGCUCCUCGGGUGACGAGUGGCGGACGGGUGAGUARUGUCUGGGGAUCUGCCCGAUAGAGGGGGAUAACCACUGGAAACGGUGGCUAAUACCGCAUAACGUCGCAAGACCAAAGAGGGGGACCUUCGGGCCUCUCACUAUCGGAUGAACCCAGAUGGGAUUAGCUAGUAGGCGGGGUAACGGCCCACCUAGGCGACGAUCCCUAGCUGGUCUGAGAGGAUGACCAGCCACACUGGAACUGASACACGGUCCASACUCCUACGGGAGGCAGCAGUGGGGAAUAUUGCACARUGGGCGCAAGCCUGAUGCASCCRUGCCGCGUGUAUGAAGAAGGCCUUCGGGUUGUAAAGUACUUUCAGCGGGGAGGAAGGCGAUGUGGUUAAUAACCGCAUYGAUUGACGUUACCCGCAGARAGAAGCACCGGCUARCUCCGUGCCAGCAGCMGCGGUAAUACGGAGGGUGCAAGYGUUAAUSGGAAUUWYUGGGCGUAAAGCGCACGCAGGCGGUCUGUUAAGUCAKAUGUGAAAUCCCCGGGCUUAACCUGGGAACUGCAUUWGAAACUGGCAGGCUUGAGUCUCGUAGAGGGGGGUAGAAUUCCRGGUGUAGCGGUGAAAUGYGUAGAGAUCUGGARGAAUACCGGUGGCGAASGCGGCCCCCUGGACGAASACUGACGCUCAKGUGCGAAAGCGUGGGGAGCAAACRGGAUUAKAUACSCUGGUAGUCCACGCCGUAMACGAUGUCGACUUGGAGGUUGUUCCCUUGARGAGUGGCUUCCRGAGCUAACGCGUUAASUCSACCGCCUGGRGAGUACGGCCGCAAGGUUAAAACUCAWAUGAAUUGACGGGGGCCCGCACAAGCGGUGGAGCAUGUGGUUUAAUUCGAUGCAACGCGAAGAACCUUAYYUACUCUUGACAUCCACGRRAYUYAGCAGAGAUGCUUUAGUGCCUUCGGGAACUUUGAGACAGGUGCUGCAUGGCUGUCGUCAGCUCGUGUUGUGAAAUGUUGGGUUAAGUCCCGCAACGAGCGCAACCCUUAUCCUUUGUUGCCAGCGAUUCGGUCGGGAACUCAAAGGAGACUGCCGGUGAUAAACCGGAGGAAGGUGGGGAUGACGUCAAGUCAUCAUGGCCCUUACGAGUAGGGCUACACACGUGCUACAAUGGCGCAUACAAAGAGAAGCGACCUCGCGAGAGCAAGCGGACCUCAUAAAGUGCGUCGUAGUCCGGAUCGGAGUUUGCAACUCGACUCCGUGAAGUCGGAAUCGCUAGUAAUCGUGGAUCAGAAUGCCACGGUGAAUACGUUCCCGGGCCUUGUACACACCGCCCNUCACACCAUGGGAGUGGGUUGCAAAAGAAGUAGGUAGCUUAACCUUCGGGAGGGCGCUUACCACUUUNNU
rnacentral:rRNA from 1 species